GACGAACGCUGGCGGCGUGCUUAACACAUGCAAGUCGAACGGAAAGGCCCUGCUUGCAGGGUGCUCGAGUGGCGAACGGGUGAGUAACACGUGGGUGAUCUGCCCCUUACUUUGGGAUAAGCCUGGGAAACUGGGUCUAAUACUGGAUAGGACCAUGCUGUAGGGGGUGUGGUGGAAAGAUUAGUUUCGGUAAGGGAUGAGCUCGCGGCCUAUCAGCUUGUUGGUGGGGUAAUGGCCUACCAAGGCGUCGACGGGUAGCCGGCCGGAGAGGGUGGACGGCCACAUUGGGACUGAGAUACGGCCCAGACUCCUACGGGAGGCAGCAGUGGGGAAUAUUGCACAAUGGGCGCAAGCCUGAUGCAGCGACGCCGCGGGGGGGAUGACGGCCUUCGGGUUGUAAACUCCUUUCAGCCAUGACGAAGCCCUUGUGGUGACGGUAGUGGUAGAAGAAGCACCGGCUAACUACGUG
rnacentral:rRNA from 1 species